rnacentral:rRNA from 1 species
GUACGGAAGGUCCGGGCGUUAUCCGGAUUUAUUGGGUUUAAAGGGUGCGCAGGCGGCCAUUUAAGUCAGCGGUUAAAUCGUGGGGCUCAACCCCAUUCUGCCGUUGAUACUGGGUGGCUUGAUUGCGGUCGAGGUUGGCGGAAUUCGUUGUGUAGCGGUGAAAUGCAUAGAUAUGACGAAGAACACCGAUUGCGUAGGCAGCUGGCCAGACCGCAAAUGACGCUCAUGCACGAAAGUGCGGGGAUCGAACAGGAUUAGAUACCCUGGUAGUCCGCACAGUAAACGAUGAAUACUUGUUUUCGGCGAUACAAUGUCGGAGGCAAAGCGAAAGCGAUAAGUAUUCCACCUGGGGAGUACGCCGGCAACGGUGAAACUCAAAGGAAUUGACGGGG